AUGGGUUUUGAGAUUGUGGUUUCAGAUAUGUGCUUUCUAAAAUUUGUGAGAUUUAUUGAUGUGGGCUUCUGAAAUUUGUGGAAAUGCGAAGAUUUAUGUAAAUGUUCUGAGGGUUGUAUUUGUGAGAUUUAUUAGAAAUCCCAUUAAUGGACAGAUUGCUGGAUGGAUAACCCAUUUUCAAGCAGGACUACGGCGUUGAUAAAGAUGCUUAUUUCUCAAAUAAGAUUUGAUUGGGUUCUUCUAUUAUGCUGGGUUCCUUGUUGAAGUUAAAUUGUUUGACUACACAGCGAGUUUCCUGCUUGUAAAACUUGGGGAAAAAAAAACAGAAGUAAUCCGAUGCUGUUUAAUAUUAUUUUCCUUCUUGAAUUGGGAGAUUCGAUGAAAGAAAUAUAAGGAUUGUAUCUCAUUUUAGGAGCUUUUGAAGCCUAGUCUCUUCUUGACUGCAUUUGUUCUUGCCUAGAUUAUGUCCAAUACUUGGCAAGUUAUUGACAAUUUUCAAUGUUCAAUGCAGAUAUUUGCUCAUAUUGGAUCGGACAAACUGGAGAACGAACAUGCUGACCUCACUCCUAGUCCCUUACAUUUUCUUUAGUCUUCCUGCAGCAAUAUUUAAUUUGUUAAGAGGGGAGGUCGGGAAAUGGAUUGCUUUCAUUGCAGUGGUGCUCAGGCUUUUCUUUCCUUGACACUUCCCAGGUUUGGGUAGUAUACUGCUAGUUCUCCUGUCAAUAGUCCCAAGGUUAGAAAUUAUUUAUAUGUUUUUUCUUUUAGUUAAAAAUAUAUUCUUUUUUAGUUAACCCCUUUUGUUUAUGCACAGAUUUAUGAUCUGAUUAUGAUGAACCAGUUAAACAAGAACACAAAACAGAGAGAAAAAAUGGGUGUUAUUUCAUCAUCACCAUCACUGCAGGAGAAAGAAGGAAGAAAGCCGAUCACAGAGCAGAGAGAAGAGAGAAGAGAGGAUUUGGGUUUAAUUGGGAGCGAAAGUGACAUCACAGAACUGAAGAAAAUGGGUCUUUGUUUAGUUCCUUUGUCUAUGGCUGUGAAUUAUUUUGGUUGAGUUUUAGAUUUUGUUUCUUUCUCUGUCUCUCCAUCCAUCCAUGGAUUUAUUGAUGGAACAUUGAAAAUGGCUUUCUGCAGAAAAAAAAAAAUUGUAUAUAUAAUAAGAUUAAGAUCCAUCAUUUUCUGCAGCAGCAUUUGAUAUGCAUAUGUAUAUUAAUUUCAUGCAGAACUUCUAACAUCUUUGUGGAAUUUUUAUUUAUUUAAUGGAAAUAUGAUAAUCCAAGUAAUUCUUAUGGACAGGGAAA